AAGUCUGGCCGUAUCACCCUGAACUCACCCGAUCAUGUCUGAUCUUGGAAGCUAAGCAGGGUCAGGCCUGGUUAAUACUUGGAUGGGAUUCCAAAUAGGAAUAGAAGCAGUAAAAUUUU
ensembl:rRNA 5S_rRNA 5S ribosomal RNA